rnacentral:lncRNA from 1 species
UCACCUCUCAGCUUGUGAAAUGCCUCGGGGUGAGCUAAAAGAAGUCGCAUCGCCCACUGGAUGGUCAUCGAUGUGGUCUCCGUUCCCCCAGAAAACAAACUCUGGCACAACAUAAAUGAGGUGUUAAUUGUUUUUUUUUUUUUUCCAGUAAACUGGAACAGUAAGAGGGAUACUUUUGCUUAUACUAAAAACUAUAUAUAAUCCAAACUAAAAACAAAAUUUUCGCCAUAGUUGAGGGAACAUACCAGUAGAACUCCUUUAAUGAGAUCAUCCGUGUAGAAUUCGGGUUCUGAUUCUUGUAGAGAAAAUAGAGUUUCAACCAGUGUGUCCCGGUUUCUAUUAGUACUAAUAUUCCCUUUCUUCUGUCGAAAUUCACCUAGUAAGCUGUUUAAGAAUUCGUUUCUCUUCUUGUGAGCUGAGUCCAUACUUUUCUCAAUCCCUUUGUACCCAAACCAUUUCAAUAUUGGCAAGAAAUCACACGCGUUCAAAAUCAACAUGGCCGCGAAGAUAACUGUCCUUAUUUCUUCAAUGAUUUGUUUACCCUUCUCUGUUCCAAUGUCUUCCUCAUUUACGCAACGUUCCCCAGUAAUAAUUCUCAUCAUAACAUUGAAUACAUAAGUAUUUGCCCAACUACCCAAGUAAACUUUUGCUCCACUACUGCCAUUUGCUUUACUUUCCUUAAACAACCCGCGAAUAACAAUUCCAAUUUCUUCAAUCCGCAGAGCAGAAGACUUCUGCAAGCUAUUGGAAGAGACUAUCUCAUUUACAGUUAGUCGGCGGAGUACCCUCCAGAGAUAGCCGUAAUUAGCCCAAAUCGAGACCUUAUAGUUGAACGAAAACUUAUCUCCAGCCAUAGUAGGAGG